CAAGCCUGUACAAGAAGAAAGCAUACCACAUGCUUGUCUUCUUCUCUACGCCGAAAUGGCCGCCUCUUGAAGGGGCGGCCAUUUCG
rnacentral:sRNA from 1 species